rnacentral:lncRNA from 1 species
GAUCCAAGGGUUGAGAAGCACUUCCAUAGAGACUUCCGGGCUUGAGAAAGCCAGUAGGAGCUGUGCUAAGAGCAGAAGAAGAGCAGGCGACUUCGUUUUUUAUAUUUAAUUAAAAAUUUAAUAACAGGAGGCCA